UACAGAGGGUGCGAGCGUUAAUCGGAAUUACUGGGCGUAAAGCGCGCGUAGGCGGCUUUUCAAGUCGAUUGUGAAAUCCCCGGGCUUAACCUGGGAACUGCAGUCGAGACUGUCUAGCUAGAGUAUGGGAGAGGGAAGUGGAAUUUCAGGUGUAGCGGUGAAAUGCGUAGAUAUCUGAAGGAACAUCAGUGGCGAAAGCGACUUCCUGGACCAAUACUGACGCUCAUGUGCGAAAGCUAGGGUAGCAAACGGG
rnacentral:rRNA from 1 species